UAUUCUGUAGUACAGUGGUAGAAUUGAAGCUUCCCAAGCUUUAACCCCGGAUUCGAUUCCCGGCGGGCGCA